UGGCAAGAAAUCCAAGAUACUUUGACCA
rnacentral:piRNA from 2 species